UGAAAACUAGAGCUAAUUUUUUUUAAUUUUCUUUUAACCCACACAGACACAGAGAAUUACACGGCCUAACGACACGUCUGUGUAAUAUAAAUACAGAAAAUUCUUGAAUUCUAAUUAAAUGAGUUAUCAAGGCAUGAGAUUGCUUAUUUAUACAGCAUAAGCAACUAACUCAUAACAACAUAACUAAUCUAUAACAAACUAACACUCAAAACUACACUUAACUGC
rnacentral:lncRNA from 1 species